rnacentral:rRNA from 1 species
ACUCAAAUGAAUUGACGGGGGCCCGCACAAGCAGCGGAGCGUGUGGUUUAAUUCGAGGCUACACGAAGAACCUUACCUGGGGUUGACAUCAGGCUAGUACCGAGGGGAAACCUGAGGGACCGCAAGGAAGCCUGACAGGUGCUGCAUGGCUGUCGUCAGCUCGUGCCGUGAGGUGUUAGGUUAAGUCCUGUAACGAGCGCAACCCUCGGCUUCAGUUACACGGAGUCUGAAGCGACUGCCCGUGACAAGCGGGAGGAAGGUGGGGAUGACGUCAAGUCAGCAUGGCCUUUAUCUCCAGGGCUACACACACGCUACAAUGGCCGGUACAAUGGGUCGCCAAGCCGCAAGGCGGAGCCAAUCCAGCCAAAGCCGGUCUCAGUUCGGAUUGAGGGCUGCAACUCGCCCUCAUGAAGUCGGAGUUGCUAGUAACCGCCGGUCAGCCAUACGGCGGUGAAUACGUUCCCGGGCCUUGCACACACCGCCCGU